CCUACGGGGGGCUGCAGUGGGGGAUAUUGCACAAUGGGGGAAACCCUGAUGCAGCGACGCCGCGUGUGGGAAGACGGUCUUCUGGAUUGUAAACCACUGUCCCCAGGGACGAAAAUGACGGUACCUGGGGAGGAAGCUCCGGCUAACUACGUGCCAGCAGCCGCGGUAAUACGUAGGGAGCAAGCGUUGUCCGGAAUUACUGGGUGUAAAGGGAGCGUAGGCGGGGAUGCAAGUUGGGUGUCAAAACUACCGGCUCAACCGAUAGUCACACUCAAAACUGCAACUCUUGAGUGAAGUAGAGGCAGGCGGAAUUCCUAGUGUAGCGGUGAAAUGCGUAGAUAUUAGGAGGAACACCAGUGGCGAAGGCGGCCUGCUGGGCUUUUACUGACGCUGAGGCUCGAAAGUGUGGGGAGCAAACAGGAUUAGAUACCCGAGUAGUC
rnacentral:rRNA from 1 species